UACAGAGGUCUCAAGCGUUGUUCGGAUUCAUUGGGCGUAAAGGGUGCGUAGGCGGCGCGGUAAGUCGGGUGUGAAAUCUCGGAGCUUAACUCCGAAACUGCAUUCGAUACUGCCGUGCUUGAGGACUGGAGAGGAGACUGGAAUUUACGGUGUAGCGGUGAAAUGCGUAGAUAUCGAGAGGAACACCUGCGGCGAAGGCGGGUUGCUGAGCUGACACUGACGCUGAGGCGCGAAAGCCAGGGGAGCGAACGGG
rnacentral:rRNA from 1 species